UCCCUGGUAGCUCAGAUGGUAAAGCUUCUGCCUGCAAUGCAGGAGACCCGGGUUCGAACCCUUGGUUGGGAA
rnacentral:tRNA from 1 species